AAUAAGGAUCGGCUAACUCCGUGCCAGCAGCCGCGGUAAUACGGAGGAUCCGAGCGUUAUCCGGAUUUAUUGGGUUUAAAGGGAGCGUAGGCGGACUAUUAAGUCAGCUGUGAAAGUUUGCGGCUCAACCGUAAAAUUGCAGUUGAUACUGGUCGUCUUGAGUGCAGUAGAGGUAGGCGGAAUUCGUGGUGUAGCGGUGAAAUGCUUAGAUAUCACGAAGAACUCCGAUUGCGAAGGCAGCUUACUGGACUGUAACUGACGCUGAUGCUCGAAAGUGUGGGUAUCAAACAGGAUUAGAUACCCUGGUAGUCCACACAGUAAACGAUGAAUACUCGCUGUUUGCGAUAUACAGCAAGCGGCCAAGCGAAAGCAUUAAGUAUUCCACCUGGGGAGUACGCCGGCAACGGUGAAACUCAAAGGAAUUGACGGGGGCCCGCACAAGCGGAGGAACAUGUGGUUUAAUUCGAUGAUACGCGAGGAACCUUACCCGGGCUUAAAUUGCAAAUGAAUAUAGUGGAAACAUUAUAGCCGCAAGGCAUUUGUGAAGGUGCUGCAUGGUUGUCGUCAGCUCGUGCCGUGAGGUGUCGGCUUAAGUGCCAUAACGAGCGCAACCCUUAUCUUUAGUUACUAACAGGUCAUGCUGAGGACUCUAGAGAGACUGCCGUCGUAAGAUGUGAGGAAGGUGGGGAUGACGUCAAAUCAGCACGGCCCUUACGUCCGGGGCUACACA
rnacentral:rRNA from 1 species